CAGGGAAAAAGAGGCUGCCGUGUCAGAGGCAGGAUCACAAUAGAAUUCGGUUCGCUGUUAUCCGAUUACCAGCGUCCUGAGAGGCUUUCACAGGCCCAUCCAUCAAGACUAAGGGGUUGAGGGAGAGCCUCUGCAAUGCUGCUGCAGCGAUGGAAAGCACUGAAGAAAUCAGGGUUAUUAAAAGGUGGCGUAAACGGAGCCAAUCCAGUGUUCUGUUUUGGAGUUACAUUGGGGUUAAAGUGAUGAUCAUAAAGCAGCCAGCGGUGACUGAUAUGCAAGGUGACACCCGCUGCCUUUGGAUGAGGUGAUUAGCCUGUGUUUUCUAGGUGAGUUUUGUCACAUUAGUGCUGGUUAGGCAGGUUUGAGCAGAUGCACAGUCUCAGAUCUCCACCUCCGCUCACCACUGUCUAGCACUGAGUUACUUCAAACGCACUGCUCUCCUACAACUGUACAGCAUGUAUUGACUUAAUUUGGCUUUUUUUUCAGACCAGAGUUAACAUCUUAACAACAAUUGUCUGUGAUCUUAAAAGAAUAUUUGAAGUCAAUCUGUUUUAGCUCACUGGAUAAAUCAUCACAAAACCUAAGAGUUGGAUUCAAACCCUUAUUUGGGGAUAUUUUGACAAUAUGGGAAACAUGCUUUCUUGUUGCGAUAACAUUUUAAGGUACUAUUCUCAUUUGUGUGCGUCAAAUAUGAAGCUUAAUCCAGCAGUUAGCUAACUUAGCAUUAACACUGAAAAAAGCACUGAAAACAGCUCUCCAUAAAGUUAGAAAACAAAUUAACACAUUUGAUGUACAAGAAACCACAAUCCUUGUUUUACGGAGAGUUUUGUGCCAAAAUAUUACUAAAGGACCAGUUGCCAGGUAACCAGCUGAAACUUCAGGAAGUUAAACCGGUGAAUUGUUAUUUUUGUAUUAAGUGUUGAACUCCUUUAAGCUCCUUGGGAGUUGUAAAAAAGCAUUGAUCAAAUAAUGAUGUUGCUGGGAACUGUGUAUUCAGAGUCUGGCCUCUAUGUUACGUACAAGGCUGAGAAAUGUUGAGUGUAUAUUAUGAGAACAGGAUUUCCCCUCUUUAAGUGAAAGUGCUGAUCCAGUUGCUUAUGUCAGCUGGCUGUUAAUAGACAUCCUGCAGAACGCGGCCUCUUUAUCAGGCUCCUAGCAGGAGUUUACAUUAUGACGUCAUUACACCUAUCAGAUCUGUUGAUACAGCAGCACACUCCCACUAUUACAUUGUUUCACAGAGCUGAGGACCAGGCUAUUCUUAUUUUAUUGGCUCUAUUUGAAACCCCUUUAGACAUAUGAAUGCCCCUGAAACUGUAUUCAUGCUCUAUUGAUAGUUAAAGACAAUUUUGAGGUACUUCCAUUUUCUGUUACUUUAUAAUUAUUUUCUCAACUGCAUUUCAGAGGGACAAUAUCAGACUUUUACAUUAUUAGUUACCUUUAAGAUUUUCCUUACACAACAUGUAAACAGCACUUAUGAAUUCAACUUCCCCAAGGUAAUUAAAGUUGGCUCCAGUACUGCUGACAUGGUUAUUACAUUACAUCACAUUGCAUUUCAUUUAGCUGACGCUUUUAUCCAAAGCGACUUAUAAUAAGUGCA